rnacentral:rRNA from 1 species
CAGGCCUAACACAUGCAAGUCGAACGCUGUAUUUAUACAGAGUGGCGCACGGGUGAGUAACACGUGGGAAUCUGCCCUUCUCUGCGGGACAACAGUUGGAAACGACUGCUAAUACCGCAUACGCCCUUCGGGGGAAAGGUCCGCCGGAGAAGGAGGAGCCCGCGUCUGAUUAGCUUGUUGGUGGGGUAAUGGCCUACCAAGGCGACGAUCAGUAGCUGGUCUGAGAGGAUGAUCAGCCACACUGGGACUGAGACACGGCCCAGACUCCUACGGGAGGCAGCAGUGGGGAAUAUUGGACAAUGGAGGAAACUCUGAUCCAGCAAUGCCGCGUGUGUGAUGAAGGCCCUAGGGUUGUAAAGCACUUUCAUUGGUGAAGAUGAUGACGGUAACCAAAGAAGAAGCCCCGGCUAACUUCGUGCCAGCAGCCGCGGUAAUACGAAGGGGGCGAGCGUUGUUCGGAAUUACUGGGCGUAAAGGGAGCGCAGGCGGUUCAAUUAGUUAGGCGUGAAAGCCCCGGGCUCAACCUGGGAACUGCGCUUAAUACUGUUGAGCUAGAAUACAGAAGAGGAUAGUGGAAUUCCCAGUGUAGAGGUGAAAUUCGUAGAUAUUGGGAAGAACACCGGUGGCGAAAGCGGCUAUCUGGUCUGUU